UACGUAGGGGGCGAGCGUUGUCCGGAUUUAUUGGGCGUAAAGAGCUCGUAGGCGGCUUAGCAAGUCGGGUGUGAAAAACUCCAGGCUCAACCUGGAGACGCCACUCGAGACUGCUAUGGCUAGAGUCCGGUAGGGGACCACGGGAAUUCCUGGUGUAGCGGUGGAAUGCGCAGAUAUCAGGAGGAACACCAAUGGCGAAGGCAGAUCUCUGGGCCGUAACUGACGCUGAGGAGCGAAAGCAUGGGGAGCGAACAGG
rnacentral:rRNA from 1 species